UACGUAGGGUGCGAGCGUUGUCCGGAAUUAUUGGGCGUAAAGAGCUCGUAGGCGGUCUGUCGCGUCGAUCGUGAAAAACUUGGGGCUUAACCCUGAGCUUGCGGUCGAUACGGGCAUGACUGGAGUUCGGCAGGGGAGACUGGAAUUCCUGGUGUAGCGGUGAAAUGCGCAGAUAUCAGGAGGACACCGGUGGCGAAGGCGGGUCUCUGGGCCGGAUACUGACGCUGAGAGCGAAAGCGUGGGGAGCGAAC
rnacentral:rRNA from 1 species